UACAGAGGGGGCAAGCGUUGUUCGGAAUUACUGGGCGUAAAGGGCGCGUAGGCGGCCUUCUAAGUCGAACGUGAAAUCCCCGGGCUCAACCCGGGAACUGCGUCCGAUACUGGAAGGCUUGAAUCCGGGAGAGGGAUGCGGAAUUCCAGGUGUAGCGGUGAAAUGCGUAGAUAUCUGGAGGAACACCGGUGGCGAAGGCGACUCUUUGGCCUGUAACUGACGCUGAGGCGCGAAAGCGUGGGGAGCAAACAGG
rnacentral:rRNA from 1 species